rnacentral:rRNA from 1 species
CUUUACUGUAUCCUGGCAUUGGGCUCUGAUAUGUUAUGCGUAGGAUAGGUGGGAAACGAAGAUCCGUGCGUUCUGGCGUACGGGGAGUUGACGUUGAAAUACCACCCUUAACAUGUUGGGGUUCUAACGGGCUAAGUAAAUGCUUAGUCUGGACAUUGUCAGGGGGGCAGUUUGACUGGGGCGGUCGCCUCCUAAAGAGUAACGGAGGCGCACAAAGGUACCCUCAGUAUGGUUGGCAAUCAUACGUAGAGCGUAAAGGCAAAAGGGUGCUUGACUGCGAGAUGGACACAUCGAGCAGGUACGAAAGUAGGUCUUAGUGAUCCGGUGGUUCUGAGUGGAAGGGCCAUCGCUCAACGGAUAAAAGGUA